UAGGCCAGUGGUAUAUAAAUCAGCAGUAAGCAUCCAGUAUCUCUCCAUUGCGGUAGUGCUUGUUACAGUUGCUUGCGAUUAGGUAGAAGUUAAUUAUUAUAUCCAGUACAAUUAUUAGAGAUGCUACGUGGCUUCAAUUAUUUUCCAUAGUUAGAGAACAAAUUCAAAUAAAUAACAAUACGAUCAGCAAGAUAUUAGAAUUUCCAUAAAACGACGUCGUAUCGUCGUUAAUCCCACAAUUCAGAAAGUGUAAAAGAAAACAUUGACGCCGUGACGCAACGACUUUCAUUAUAUGAUUUUUUGAACAUUCGCUUGGACCUACAAUAGAUCCUAUAUCAUCACGGAUAUCAAAGAGAUCAAAGGAAACUGAAUAGUAAUCAUCAGAAGAAGAUUGUUAAAAGAUUAUGACCAAAGUUUUCAUGUAAUAGAGUUAAAAUGAAGUUAAUCAUUCUACUGUUAUUACUGGUCAGUUUAGUUUCCUGUAAGCCCUGGCUUGAUCUAUGGUUUCCUCAGCAGUCCUACGACAAUCGAAAUACCGGAUACUAUGCAAACGGCCCGUAUCGUCAAAGUAGAGGUGGUAAGGAGCGCUGGAAACAAAUUUGCAGGACUAUAAAUGCGGAUUCAUAUGCAUUCCCAGGACGCGUGCCUUAUCCCGCCGCACCUGUUUGUCCAUGGUAAAGGAAAUUUCCGGUCGGAUUUCCAAUCUGUCGUGCCAAACGCAAGUGAGAACGUAGCGUGCGUUAAAAAUAUGAAUUUAUUGUAACAACGUAGUUUUAGACAGUAUACGUCCACCGAUUAUGAGUAUUUCAGUCAGUAUGCAUGUACGUAUGUGUCCGUGACAAUGCUAGCAAACAUAAUGCUAGUAUACAUAUAAAUAUUCGUGAUUACAUAUAGCUACGUAUGCGUUCAUCAAGUAAAGUACGAAGCGAGGAGAUAAUUGUCCGCCAAUUGCAUCUUUUGUACGCGAACUUUAUUACUCCCCACUUCUCGGUCCGUAUUCGCACUUGUUAAAUAUAAAAACAAGAAAAAGAAACUAGGACCCAUAUCGUACUAUAAAAAAAUAGCUUUCAGAGUCCAAAAAACAAAGCUAAAGAAUACGGUCGAAAGCUGUAAAAAUGUAGUUUCUAGAUUUCUUUUUCAGACAUUUUAAGAGUGUUCUAUCAUGCAAAGUCAUUUCAUAUCAGCAUAACUUUUAUUUAUCUUUUAGUUAAAUUUUUAAUGCGCGUACGGACCCACUAAAUAUCUGCUAACUUAGAUACAGUUCAAAGACUUAUCUAUCGAUCUGUGUAACAUCGACUUUCUAAGUCAUCAUCAUCUGCCUACAAAUCAGUAAUACUCCGAGCUCUCUCUCUCUUUUUUUUCUUUUCUUACGUAUAAAAAUAAGCUAUAUACAUUAUUAUUAUAUGUUACAUUGUAAUGUAAGUUUACGCUCAAAUUUUCUAAAAAAAAAAAAUGCACGCCUUCGUAGCACAAUUGUAAUCAUAGUCUUAAAUAUCAUGUAUAUUACAUGCUUUAUAUACAGUCCAGAAUCACAGAGUUCGGUACAGCACGACGGUGUUGUGUGUACGUUGAUGCUUGUAGUUUAAAAAAGCGAUAAAGCCAUUUUAAUACAUUAUCUAAACAAAUUAUACAAUAUAAAGUUUAAUUUAAAUAGAGU